UCUUGGUCAUUUAGAGGAAGUAAAAGUCGUAACAAGGUUUCCGUAGGUGAACCUGCGGAAGGAUCAUUACAGAAAGUAAACGCGGAUCAAACCGCGAACUUCUAAACCUUUGACGAUCGACUCAUGUUGCCUCGGCGGGUGCUCCCGCCAGAGGAUACAUCAAAACUCAUGUUUUAACGGUGUUGUCUGAGCUACAAGCAACGAAUCAAAACUUUCAACAACGGAUCUCUUGGUUCUGGCAUCGAUGAAGAACGCAGCGAAAUGCGAUAAGUAGUGUGAAUUGCAGAAUUCAGUGAAUCAUCGAAUCUUUGAACGCACAUUGCGCCCCUUGGUAUCCCGAGGGGCAUGCCUGUUCGAGCGUCAUUUCACCACUCAAGCCUGGCUUGGUGUUGGGCGACGUCCCCUUUGGGGACGCGCCUCGAAACGCUCGGCGGCGUGGCACCGGCUUUAAGCGUAGCAGAAUCUUUCGCUUUGAAAGUCGGGGCCCCGUCUGCCGGAAGACCUACUCGCAAGGUUGACCUCGGAUCAGGCAGGGAUACCCGCUGAACUUAAGCAUAUCAU
rnacentral:misc_RNA from 1 species